CUGUGACGUCACGAGAAGGAAAGAGGAAAGGGAGAGGGUGCGAGGCAUCAUGGGAAAUGAAGUCCAAACCCAGACAGAGAGGUGGAUCAACUGGCGCUGAAGACUCAAGUUCCCAGCAUCCACCUGUGAACAGAGGGUCAUGGAAUAUCCUGGGAAAGAGCUAAAGUCGUUUUUCCCUGAGAGGAGGAGGAGGAGCUGCUGAUCCGGGUCGUGAUGGAGGAGGAGACGCCGGAAAACACGACUCCCUCAGCGGGGGGAGACGAGGGGGGUGGGCGGCCCUAGAACCCGCGGGUCCCCGGGGAGCCUGACUUUAAUCAGACCGUCGUUAAUGACAAUGGCAUCUCCAUGGAAACGAAGCGUCACGACACAAGGGUGUGUGUGUGUGUGUGUGUGUCACAGGUGGGUAUAAAAUAGGCGGUGGACUGUGGACCCUCAGACCAGAGCCGGACUGUCCACCAUCCACGCGAGUCUUUCUCUGCUGCUGCUGCGCGAGGCCACGCUGCACCGACAACAGGAGGACACACUCUCACUGUGAGAACACUCAGUGAGGUCACACCAUCUCUGUGAGGACACACUCUCACUGUGAGGACACACAGUGAGGACACACCAUC